UAGCUACAGGCUUAACACAUGCAAGUCGAGGGGUAGCAGGGUAGCAAUACCGCUGACGACCGGCGCACGGGUGAGUAACACGUAUCCAACCUUCCCAUAACUCGGGGAUAGCCUUUCGAAAGAAAGAUUAAUACCCGAUAGUACUUAAGAAAGGCAUCUUUUUUAAGUUAAAGAUUUAUUGGUUAUGGAUGGGGAUGCGUUCCAUUAGAUAGUUGGUGAGGUAACGGCUCACCAAGUCUUCGAUGGAUAGGGGUUCUGAGAGGAAGGUCCCCCACAUUGGUACUGAGACACGGACCAAACUCCUACGGGAGGCAGCAGUGAGGAAUAUUGGUCAAUGGGCGAGAGCCUGAACCAGCCAAGUAGCGUGAAGGAUGACGG
rnacentral:rRNA from 1 species